rnacentral:rRNA from 1 species
CCUACGGGAGGCUGCAGUGGGGAAUAUUGGACAAUGGGGGAAACCCUGAUCCAGCGACGCCGCGUGAGUGAAGAAGUAUUUCGGUACGUUAAGCUCUAUCAGCAGGGAAGAAAAUGACGGUACCUGUCUAAGAACCCCCGGCUAACUACGUGCCAGCAGCCGCGGUACCACGUAGGGGGCCAGCGUUAUCCGGAUUUACUGGGUGUAAAGGGAGCGUAGACGGCAGCGCAAGUCUGGAGUGAAAUGCCGGGGCCCAACCCCGGAACUGCUCUGGAAACUGUGAAGCUGGAGUGCGGGAGAGGUAAGCGGAAUUCCUGGUGUAGCGGUGAAAUGCGUAGAUAUCAGGAGGAACACCGGCGGCGAAGGCAGCUUACUGGACUGUAACUGACGUUGAGGCUCGAAGGCGUGGGGAGCAAACAGGAUUAGAUACCCCUGUAGUC